CGGGACGGGUGAGUAAUGUCUGGGAAACUGCCUGAUGAGGGGGGAUAACUACUGGAAACGGUAGCUAAUACCGCAUAACGUCGCAAGACCAAAGAGGGGGACCUUCGGGCCUCUUGCCAUCGGAUGUGCCCAGAUGGGAUUAGCUAGUAGGUGGGGUAACGGCUCACCUAGGCGACGAUCCCUAGCUGGUCUGAGAGGAUGACCAGCCACACUGGAACUGAGACACGGUCCAG
rnacentral:rRNA from 1 species